rnacentral:rRNA from 1 species
GAUGAACGCUGGCGGCGUGCCUAAUACAUGCAAGUCGAGCGAACAGACGAGGAGCUUGCUCCUCUGACGUUAGCGGCGGACGGGUGAGUAACACGUGGAUAACCUACCUAUAAGACUGGGAUAACUUCGGGAAACCGGAGCUAAUACCGGAUAAUAUAUUGAACCGCAUGGUUCAAUAGUGAAAGACGGUUUUGCUGUCACUUAUAGAUGGAUCCGCGCCGCAUUAGCUAGUUGGUAAGGUAACGGCUUACCAAGGCAACGAUACGUAGCCGACCUGAGAGGGUGAUCGGCCACACUGGAACUGAGACACGGUCCAGACUCCUACGGGAGGCAGCAGUAGGGAAUCUUCCGCAAUGGGCGAAAGCUUGACGGAGCAACGCCGCGUGAGUGAUGAAGGUCUUCGGAUCGUAAAACUCUGUUAUUAGGGAAGAACAAAUGUGUAAGUAACUAUGCACGUCUUGACGGUACCUAAUCAGAAAGCCACGGCUAACUACGUG